rnacentral:rRNA from 1 species
GUGAGGAAUAUUGGUCAAUGGGCGCAAGCCUGAACCAGCCAUCCCGCGUGAAGGAAGAAGGCCCUACGGGUUGUAAACUUCUUUUCUGUUUGAAGAAUAAGCUUGUCGAGACAAGUGAUGCCGGUAGGACAGGAAUAAGCAUCGGCUAACUCCGUGCCAGCAGCCGCGGUAAUACGGAGGAUGCAAGCGUUAUCCGGAUUUAUUGGGUUUAAAGGGUGCGCAGGUGGUUGAAUAAGUCAGUGGUGAAAGUCUGGCGCUUAACGUUAGGAUUGCCAUUGAUACUGUUUGACUUGAAUAUGGAUGAGGUAGGCGGAAUGUGUAGUGUAGCGGUGAAAUGCUUAGAUAUUACACAGAACACCGAUUGCGAAGGCAGCUUACUAAUCCAUUAUUGACGCUGAGGCACGAAAGCGUGGGGAUCAAACAGGAUUAGAAACCCGAGUAGUCC